UACGUAGGGCGCAAGCGUUAUCCGGAAUUAUUGGGCGUAAAGAGCUCGUAGGCGGUUUGUCGCGUCUGCCGUGAAAGUCCGGGGCUCAACUCCGGAUCUGCGGUGGGUACGGGCAGACUAGAGUGAUGUAGGGGAGACUGGAAUUCCUGGUGUAGCGGUGAAAUGCGCAGAUAUCAGGAGGAACACCGGUGGCGAAGGCGGGUCUCUGGCCCGUUACCGACGCUCAGGCGCGACAGCGUGGGGAGCAAACAGG
rnacentral:rRNA from 1 species